UCUCACCGGCGGCAGGUACGCGCCGACCGCGCUCCAUCCCGCCCGUGGCUACGGUUAAUGCUGGUGCUAUCAGCGUUCAUCGAGCUGCGAGUCCUUGGAGGAAAUUCGUCCCGUAGAACUUGGACCCUUGAAUACCGUGUGAAUACCACCUUGUCUGUAGCCUCUGUUGCCAUGAAAGCAGUCACUUCCACUACAGUGCUUGUGUUACGGAUCUCUAGCGACAAUUUUGAAAUACCAGUUUAAAAGGAAGGGCUUUUGUUGACAUCUGUUUUGUCUUACACGCACAGUGCCACAGAGCCGUGGGUCCUGCAGACCUGCAGAAACAGCGUCACUCGCACAAGCCAUCCUUCUGCACUCACAGAGCAUCACACAGCUCCUGGCUCCCCAGAGGCCGAAAGCCUGCCCAUAGUUCCCAUCACCUCGAGCGACACAGAACGGAUCUGUGGCUGUACAGAGGUGCUGCCCCAUCUCUCAUGUCAGAACAAAACCAGAGGCAGACUGUCAUGUGCCCCUUGCGCUCCUGCCUGAUGUGCUGGAUGCCUCAACCAGGCACCUCAUCUGCUCCUUUGCACACCCAAGAGAGGGGCAGGAGACGCCUUCAGACGGUUUAUGCUGGGAAGAUGGGGAUGGGAUAUCCCACCCAUGCCCCUUCCCUGAAUCCCUUUGUGCUUUCAUCCCACGAACAGCUUCCCCUUGCCCAUGCUGGCCUUGUCCCCGCUCAGGUACCAGUUUCCCCCUUCCACCGACAUACCUGCUCGCUGGGGAUGCAGCCUGGCCACGGCAGCAUUGGAGUGUUUCAUUUCCACACCCUGCUCUUCCUCCUUAUUUCCCCUUCUCACCAGUCUGGGACAGACUGCAGUUCUCCAGUUCUGUCUCUCCAGCACUGGGGAGGCAUUGGAGGAGACCUGCAAUUCCUUGUCCCGACGGCUUUUAUUACACCUAGCCCUUUCCUCAGGAAGGAGAUAUCCCAUGAACCGCAGUGGAAAAGCCAAAGGAGCACAAAGGGUGUUGAGUUCAGGGUUUGAACAAGCUGCAGCCCACUCAUGGAUUUAACUCAAAAUUUUGACAAUGGAACAAAAACAUCAUUGCAACGAGACAGCUGUUUUUACUAUCAAAAUCUCUCAGAUCAGUUUGACUGCAAAGUGUGCUCCUACAAUCCAAAGGAGACAAAGCUCCCAGCAUCAGUUUGGAGCUGGCAGGCUUCCUAGCAUGAGCUACCUCCCGCCAGCCUAGAAAAACCAAAGCUCUUUCAGUUGUUAUUCCCCAUCAGUUCUCGACACUAACCCCCUGAUUUCCCCAUGGAUUAUCUGCAGUUCUGAGUUUACGCUGCUCUCACAUUAAACUCUGAGUAAUCACUGGCUGGGGGGGACUUCCUUGCUGCCUUUCUCACCUGUAAUUGUGGUUCUGGUGAGGAGUCUCUGAAGUACGAGAAAGUCCUUGGAUCCAUCUUGAAAAUAAAUCUUUUCCUUCCUCCCCCUGCCGUGCCCAAAAGCCUGAUUGCCACAUUAGCUCCUUUUGAAGCCGGUUUUAACAAGUGAAUUCAUAUCUAAAAAUGCCUUGCUUGCAAAAUUCUUCCAACCCCUGAUUUCACAACAUAUUUGAAUAUAUGCUUAGUUUUAUGCAUGUGAAUAGGCCUACAACAAUCAAUACAAUUAUUUACCUAAGUGCUUAAAGUCAGGCAGGUAUUUAAGAAUUAGUAUUGUUUGUGGUAAUGCCACGGCAAGCCAGGCAGGGACCAGGACCUCAUUGUUUGUUCAGCACCCUGCACACAAAAAGACACUCCUUGUCCCUUUCAGUAUAAGUAAUUUUUGUGAGUUGUGAGUAACUUGUGAAUCAGUGCCAGAAACACCUUUCUUGAGCUGGGAGCAGCAGAUGCCAAUAUAUUCCUGAGGGAAGGGGCCCAGGAGCCAAGUGUGGCUGCAGCACGGGCAGCGAUGGGUGCCAGCAACGGGGCCCAGACGUGAGGAGCAAAGGAUCCGUCCAGGGAGCCCACUCAGGACCAAAGGAAACAGUUCUGUCUCAGAGGAUCCCCCAGCUGGUACUACUUGUGGAUGAUGCCCCAUCUGCUUUUGCUGCUGCUGAAGAC